AGAGGCAUCGAUGCAGCUCGAGCGGCUGCAGAUCAAUAAAAAAUGACACAUUGUUACUCCGAAGUCGUUUAUUUUUUUAUUGUAAAAUAUUCAUUUGCACGUUAUACAGCAGUGCUCGUUCAAGGCUGCGCGUUGCGUAGGUAUAACGGGUCCAGGUGGAGCCUUGUUAGCGGCACAGCGCCGAAGACGCGCUGCGAAACGGCAAACCUGGCGUUACGUGCCUGCCACAUACACGGG
rnacentral:lncRNA from 1 species